AUUGAACGCUGGCGGAAUGCUUUACACAUGCAAGUCGAACGGCAGCACGGGGGCAACCCUGGUGGCGAGUGGCGAACGGGUGAGUAAUACAUCGGAACGUGCCCAGUCGUGGGGGAUAACGUAGCGAAAGUUACGCUAAUACCGCAUACGAUCUACGGAUGAAAGCGGGGGACCGUAAGGCCUUGCGCGAUUGGAGCGGCCGAUGUCAGAUUAGGUAGUUGGUGAGGUAAAGGCUCACCAAGCCGACGAUCUGUAGCUGGUCUGAGAGGACGACCAGCCACACUGGGACUGAGACACGGCCCAGACUCCUACGGGAGGCAGCAGUGGGGAAUUUUGGACAAUGGGCGCAAGCCUGAUCCAGCCAUUCCGCGUGCAGGACGAAGGCCUUCGGGUUGUAAACUGCUUUUGUACGGAACGAAAAGGCUCUGGUUAAUACCUGGGGCUCAUGACGAUACCGUAAGAAUAAGCACCGGCUAACUACGUGCCAGCCGCCGCAGUAA
rnacentral:rRNA from 1 species